GNUCUNCCUUCUUGUUUUCUGGCGCCCUUGUCGCCGGGAUUAUAGUUUGUUCUCGGCUCUCUUGAGNCUGUGGCAGGCUUUUCCUCGCGCCCCUGCGGGAUUAGGCUACCGAGUGGUGACUAUGGACGAACGGUGAUUAAAGUAGCGGAACGUGCCCAGCCGGGGGGGAUAACUGCUCCAAAGAGCAGUUGAUACCUCAUACCAUCCAUGGAUAAAAACGGGGGACCGGCGGUCUGGCGCGAUUGUAUCGGCCGAUGUCUGAUUUUAUAUGUGGUGGGGUGGGUNCUUGGCCCUCUGCGAUCUGUAGCUGGUCUGAGAGCACCACCAACCACACUGGGACUGAGACACGGCCCAGACUCCUACUGGAGGCAGCUGUGGAGAAUUUUAGACCAUGGGCUAGCCUCUGAUCCAGCAAUGCCGCGUGCACAAUGAAGGCCCUCGUGUUGGAAAUUGCUUUUGUACGGAACGAAGGACCUGGGGUUAAUAUCCACGGGUCAUGACGGAUCACUAUAAAUAAACACCUCCUAACUACGUGCCAGCAGCCGUGGUAAUACGUAGGUACGUACCGUGCGUCUGAAUUUUGGGCGUCUUACCCUGCGCGUGGUUAUGUCCGACAGUGGUCAAAUCUGUGGGAUCAUCUGUGAACUGCGGUGUGAGUGCAUGGCAACAGUGUACCACAGUGCGAUAGAAUUCCGGUGGUAUUACUAUAUUCUAGACAUGUGCAGCAAAAACCAUGGGGAAUCCCAUUGCCUGGGCUCGCCUCCCGCUCUACACGAUAGCUCGGGGAGCAACCGAGUGCAUCCCCCCCAUAUUACAUCCUA
rnacentral:rRNA from 1 species